rnacentral:rRNA from 1 species
AUUGUUCGCAAUGGGCGCAAGCCUGACGACGCAACGCCGCGUGGAGGAUGAAGAUCUUCGGGUCGUAAACUCCUUUCGAUCGAGACGAAUGGCCUUCGGGUUAACAGCCUGGAGGAAUGUCGGUACCGAGAGCAGAAGCCCCGGCUAACCCCGUGCCAGCAGCCGCGGUAACACGGGGGGAGCAAGCGUUGUUCGGAAUCACUGGGCGUAAAGGGCGUGUAGGCGGUCAGGUAAGUGGGAUGUGAAAUGCCCCGGCUCACCCGGGGACCUGCAUCCCAAACUGCUUGGCUUGAGUAUGGGAGAGGAUGAGGGAAUUCCUGGUGUAGCGGUGAAAUGCGUAGAUAUCUGGAGGAACACCGGUGGCGAAGGCGGCAUCCUGGACCGGCAUUGACGCUGAGGCGCGAAAGCCAGGGGAGCAAAC